rnacentral:rRNA from 1 species
CACCGGUCUCGCGAAUGCACUANAGCUUAAUUUGAUCAUGGCUCAGAGUCACGCGUGGUAGUAGGCCUAACACAUGCAAGUCGAACGGCAGCACAGAGGAGCUUGCUCCUUGGGUGGCGAGUGGCGGACGGGUGAGGAAUACAUCGGAAUCUACUCUGUCGUGGGGGAUAACGUAGGGAAACUUACGCUAAUACCGCAUACGACCUACGGGUGAAAGCAGGGGAUCUUCGGACCUUGCGCGAUUGAAUGAGCCGAUGUCGGAUUAGCUAGUUGGCGGGGUAAAGGCCCACCAAGGCGACGAUCCGUAGCUGGUCUGAGAGGAUGAUCAGCCACACUGGAACUUGAGAACACCGGGUCCAGACUCCUACGGGAGGCGCAGUGGGGAUAUUGGCUGGGGCGCCUGUCCACAU